rnacentral:rRNA from 1 species
CCUACGGGUAGCAGCAGUGAGGAAUAUUGGUCAAUGGGCGCGAGCCUGAACCAGCCAAGUCGCGUGAAGGAUGACUGCUCUACGGGUUGUAAACUUCUUUUAUUCGGGACGAAACAAAUGACGGUACCGAAUGAAUAAGCCAAGGCUAACUACGUGCAAGCAGCCGCGGUAAUACGUAGGUGGCAAGCGUUAUCCGGAUUGACUGGGUGUAAAGGGCGUGUAGGCGGGAGGGCAAGUCAGACGUGAAAUUCCAGGGCUCAACCCUGGAACUGCAUUUGAAACUGUUCUUCUUGAGUGAUGGAGAGGCAAGCGGAAUGACGUGUGUAGCGGUGAAAUGCGUAGAUAUACGGAAGAACACCAGUGGCGAAGGCGGCCUGCUGGACAUUAACUGACGCUGAGGCGCGAAAGCGUGGGGAGCAAACAGGAUUAGAUACCCGAGUAGUC